UUCUUUCUGUAAGAAAAUUAGUGCUGUAUGGAAUGAUUUUGAAAAAAUCAUGGUAGAUAGAGUUUUAAAAGUAAAAUAUAAAAAAUAUGUCAAAUUAUAUAGUUGUGCUAGUAGUAGAAAAACUGGCCAUUUAAAAAGACAUCAAGAGAGCUAUAUGAUGAGUAAUGCUCGUCUUCAAAGCACUCUUAAUACACAAGGG
rnacentral:lncRNA from 1 species